rnacentral:rRNA from 1 species
UACAGAGGGUGCGAGCGUUAAUCGGAAUACUGGGCGUAAAGCGCGCGUAGGCGGCUUUGUAAGUCGGUUGUGAAAUCCCCGGGCUUAACCUGGGAACUGCAUCCGAGACUGCAUAGCUAGAGUAUGGGAGAGGGAAGUGGAAUUUCAGGUGUAGCGGUGAAAUGCGUAGAUAUCUGAAGGAACAUCAGUGGCGAAAGCGACUUCCUGGACCAAUACUGACGCUCAUGUGCGAAAGCGUGGGGAGCAAACAGG